rnacentral:Y_RNA from 1 species
GGCUGGUCCGAAGGUAGUGAGUUAUCUCAGUUGAUUGUUCACAGUCAGUUACAGAUCAAACUCCUUGUUCUACUCUUUCCCCGCUUCUCUCUACUGCACUUGACUAGUCUUUU